rnacentral:rRNA from 1 species
UACGUAGGGUGCGAGCGUUGUCCGGAAUUAUUGGGCGUAAAGCGCACGUAGGCGGCUUUGUAAGUUAGAGGUGAAAGCCCGGGGCUCAACUCCGGAAUUGCCUUUAAGACUGCAUCGCUCGAAUUGUGGAGAGGUAAGUGGAAUUCCGAGUGUAGAGGUGAAAUUCGUAGAUAUUCGGAAGAACACCAGUGGCGAAGGCGACUUACUGGACACAUAUUGACGCUGAGGUGCGAAAGCGUGGGGAGCAAACAGG